rnacentral:rRNA from 1 species
UACCAGCUCUCCGAGUGGUAGGGAUGAUUAUUGGGCUUAAAGCGUCCGUAGCCGGCUUAGCAAGUCUCCUGUUAAAUUCAGCGACCUAAUCGUUGAGCCGCGGGAGAUACUACUAGGCUAGGAGGCGGGAGAGGUCAACGGUACUUCCGGGGUAGGGGUGAAAUCCUAUAAUCCCGGGAGGACCACCAGUGGCGAAGGCUGUUGACUAGAACGCGCUCGACGGUGAGGGACGAAAGCUGGGGGAGCGAACCGGAUUAGAUACCCGGGUAGUCCCAGCUGUAAACGAUGCGAGCUAGGUGUUGGGGUGGCUACGUGCCACUUCAGUGCCGCAGGGAAGCCAUUAAGCUCGCCGCCUGGGGAGUACGGCCGCAAGGCUGAAACUUAAGGAAUUGGCGGGGAGCACCACAAGGCGUGAAGCUUGCGGUUC